UACGUAGGGCGCAAGCGUUGUCCGGAAUUUAUUGGGCGUAAAGAGCUCGUAGGCGGCCUGUUACGUCUGCUGUGAAAUCCCGGGGCUUAACCCCGGGCGUGCAGUGGAUACGGGCAGGCUCGAGUUCGGUAGGGGAGACUGGAAUUCCUGGUGUAGCGGUGAAAUGCGCAGAUAUCAGGAGGAACACCGGUGGCGAAGGCGGGUCUCUGGGCCGAUACUGACGCUGAGGAGCGAAAGCGUGGGGAGCGAACAGG
rnacentral:rRNA from 1 species